GCAUUUGUCUUUUAAAUAGAGACCUGUAUGAAUGGCAUAACGAGGGUUUAACUGUCUCCCUCCCCCAGUCAAUGAAAUUGAUCUGCCCGUGCAGAAGCGGACAUAAACACAUAAGACGAGAAGACCCUAUGGAGCUUUAGACAAAAGAUCAAACAUGUAAAGAAACCAAACCAACCAAAAGGAACACAAAGGCCACAAAACCCAACGUAAAAUGAUCAAAAUGUCUUCGGUUGGGGCGACCAUGGGGGAAAGAAAAGCCCCCACGAGGAACUAAGGGCAAUCCAUUAAGCCAAGAGAUACACCUCUAAGCAACAGAAAAUCUGACCAAAAAUGACCCAGGACACUAAUCCUGAUCAACGAACCAAGUUACCCUAGGGAUAACAGCGCAAUCCUUUCCCAGAGUCCAUAUCGACGAAAGGGUUUACGACCUCGAUGUUGGAUCAGGACAUCCUAAUGGUGCAGCCGCUAUUAAGGGUUCGUUUGUUCAACGAUUAACAGUCCUAC
rnacentral:rRNA from 1 species